AGAUUGAACGCUGGCGGCAUGCCUAACACAUGCAAGUCGAGCGGCAGCGCGGGGGCGACCCUGGUGGCGAGCGGCGGACGGGUGAGUAAGGCAUCGGAAUCUGCCCUGAUGUGGGGGAUAGCCCGGAGAAAUCCGGAUUAAUACCGCAUAUGCCCUACGGGGUAAAGCGGGGGAUCGUAAGACCUCGCGCUGGUGGAUGAGCCUACGUCCGAUUAGUUAGUUGGUGGGGUAAAGGCCUACCAAGGCUACGAUCGGUAGCUGGUCUGAGAGGACGACCAGCCACACUGGGACUGAGACACGGCCCAGACUCCUACGGGCGGCAGC
rnacentral:rRNA from 1 species